CCCCAGCUCCUCCCUUCUCUCUCUGCUUCCUGGCCACCAUGCUGGGAGCUGCUGUCCCUGCCAGACCCUUCUACCAGAGAUGUUUCUGCCUUGGAACCAGCUGCCCAUGGACUGAACCUGUAAAACUCCACGUGGCCACGGGGACGCUUCGGAUUCUGACCCUGUCACCUACCUCCUAAGCCCGUCUAUAGUCACACACACGUCUCGUGUUCAGUCCGCUCCCCUAGAAAACCCCGACUCCGCAGAGGCCCAUGUAUGACGUGCAUUCACCCAGCUUCCACUCUGAGCCUCUUUGCUUCCAGAUCACCCCAAGCCCAACGCACCUUCCUUGAAGCAGAUUGUAGAGCAGGAAAUGGCUCCUGUCCUCCUGCAGCGUCUAGAGAGGGAUCCAGCACUGGCAUCAGGAGUGCCU